rnacentral:rRNA from 1 species
UACAGAGGGGGCAAGCGUUGUUCGGAAUUACUGGGCGUAAAGGGCGCGUAGGCGGCCGCCUAAGUCAGACGUGAAAUCCCUCGGCUCAACCGGGGAACUGCGUCUGAUACUGGGUGGCUUGAAUCCGGGAGAGGGAUGCGGAAUUCCAGGUGUAGCGGUGAAAUGCGUAGAUAUCUGGAGGAGCACCGGUGGCGAAGGCGGCAUCCUGGACCGGCAUUGACGCUGAGGCGCGAAAGCCAGGGGAGCAAACGGG